rnacentral:rRNA from 1 species
AGAGUUUGAUCCUGGCUCAGGAUGAACGCUGGCGGCGUGCCUAAUGCAUGCAAGUCGAGCGACGCAUACCGGAGGGGUAACCCACUGGUAUGACGGAGCGGCGAACGGGUGAGUAACACGUGAGCAACCUGCCCCACAGACCGGGAUAGCCCAGGGAAACCUGGAUUAAUACCGGAUAUCCUCGGAUGAUCUCAUGAUCGAUCGAGGAAAUGCCUUUGUGCUGUGGGAUGGGCUCGCGGCUUAUCAGCUAGUUGGUGGGGUAACGGCCUACCAAGGCGUCGACGAGUAGCUGGUCUGAGAGGACGAUCAGCCACACUGGAACUGAGACACGGUCCAGACUCCUACGGGAGGCAGCAGCAGGGAAUCUUGCGCAAUGGGCGAAAGCCUGACGCAGCAACGCCGCGUGGGGGAUGAAGGCCUUCGGGUUGUAAACCCCUUUCAGGAGGGAAGAAAUUGACGGUACCUCCAAAAGAAGGACCGGCCAACUACGUGCCGGCAGCCGCGGUAAUACGUAGGGUCCGAGCGUUAUCCGGAAUCAUUGGGCGUAAAGAGCUCGUAGGCGGUUCAGCAAGUCGGCUGUGAAAGUCCGGGGCUCAACCCCGGAAUUGCAGUCGAUACUGCUGUGACUCGAGUCCGGUAGAGGAGAAUGGAAUUCCCGGUGUAGCGGUGAAAUGCGCAGAUAUCGGGAGGAACACCAGUAGCGAAGGCGGUUCUCUGGGCCGGCACUGACGCUGAGGAGCGAAAGCGUGGGGAGCAAACAGGAUUAGAUACCCUGGUAGUCCACGCUGUAAACGUUGGAUACUAGGUGUGGCGGUUAUACCAAUGACUGCCGUGCCGAAGCUAACGCAUUAAGUAUCCCGCCUGGGGAGUACGGCCGCAAGGCUUUUCUCAAAGGAAUUGACGGAAGGG